CCAUAUCCUACUUUGUACACUGGCAGUGUACGUUUUUCAAAAACUUAUAUAAAAAAAACUAUUAAAGUUUUUUCUAUUUUUUCUUUUGUUUUCGUUUAAGAACAUGUUUGUCUACAUUUUGCCACGUGCUGUUUGACUUUUACAAUUGCGUUUUAGUAUUUUAUUGCGCUUGAAAGUGACAACAUUGUCAAAAAUUGAAAAAAAUGAAACCUGUUCGGAAAAUGGUCUCAAGUAAAUAUUAACAGUUCACAAUGUCAUCAUUAAGAAUCAAGAUGAGAACCUGAUAUCUAAUAGUAAAUAAAUGAAUUAGACAAAAGCAUGAUUGAGUUUCAAUGACAUUAGAAUCUUAUAAUUUGUUAUUAGGUCCUUGUGUUAUAUCAUAACAUAAUAUGUUUACCUCUAUGACACCGUUAUUUAUUAUGUAUACUUAUUUUUUUACAAUUUAGUCACAAUUUAGUAUAGCUAAUUAGCAGAGCUAACAUCACAAGGGAAUUGAGUCUAUAGACUUUAUCAAAGCUAACAAACUUGAACAUGACAAAACCAUGACUGCGACCCAAUGAAAAGAAUUCGAAAAAAAUGGAAUUUAUGAUUAUUACAUAACUGAUAAGCAUAUGAAUAUACGAAUAUACCAAUAUAUAAAGUAUGUUUGGUUCAACCGCACUUCAAAUAUUAAAAUCUUUGCUUAUGGACAUGAUCUUUGAAUAUCUCACUAUUGUAUUAUUAUUUGUUGU